rnacentral:rRNA from 1 species
GAUCGCGGCGACGCGGGCGGUCCGCCGCCCGCGACGUCGCGAGAAGUCCACUGAACCUUAUCAUUUAGAGGAAGGAGAAGUCGUAACAAGGUUUCCGUAGGUGAACCUGCGGAAGGAUCAUUGUCGCC